UCACGACUGCGGUCCUUUUGGGCCACCUCCCAUCCGUGUCUAUUGUACCCUAGUUGCUUCGGCGGGCCCGCCGCUUGUCGGCCGCCGGGGGGGCGCCUCUGCCCCCCGGGCCCGUGCCCGCCGGAGACCCCAACACGAACACUGUCUGAAAGCGUGCAGUCUGAGUUGAUUGAAUGCAAUCAGUUAAAACUUUCAACAAUGGAUCUCUUGGUUCCGGCAUCGAUGAAGAACGCAGCGAAAUGCGAUAACUAAUGUGAAUUGCAGAAUUCAGUGAAUCAUCGAGUCUUUGAACGCACAUUGCGCCCCCUGGUAUUCCGGGGGGCAUGCCUGUCCGAGCGUCAUUGCUGCCCUCAAGCCCGGCUUGUGUGUGGGUCGCCGUCCCCCUCUCCGGGGGGACGGGCCCGAAAGGCAGCGGCGGCACCGCGUCCGAUCCUCGAGCGUAUGGGGCUUUGUCACAUGCUCUGUAGGAUUGGCCGGCGCCUGCCGACGUUUUCCAACCAUUCUUUCCAGGUUGACCUCGGAUCAGGUAGGGAUACCCGCUGAACUUAAGCAUAUC
rnacentral:rRNA from 1 species